ACCUCGGUGGUGUAGUGGUCAAGACGCUCGCCCGGCAAUCAGGAGGGCGUGGGUUCAAUCCCAGCCGAGGUA
rfam:Asian citrus Psyllid, Diaphorina citri - Florida Strain, whole genome shotgun sequence.